CCAUUUAGGUCAGGAGUCACUUGAAAAGUUGUUAGGCCAGUAUUUCUACAUCUCGCAUUUGUCAGCCCUUGCCAAAACGGUGACGCAGCUGUGUGUUACCUGCCAACAGCAUAAUGCGAGGCAAGGUCCAGCUGUUCCGCCCAGCAUACAAGCUUAUGGAGCAGUCCCCUUUGAAGAUCUCCAGGUGGACUUCACAGAGAUGCCAAAUUGUGGAGAUCUUAUUCCUAGAUUUGGACUGCCCUUACAGAUCAGCUCAGAUAACAGGCUGGCGGUGUUUGUGGCUGACUUGGUACAGAAGAUGGCAAAGGUAAUCGAGUGUGGAUCAAGGACUGGAAUGUAGCCUCUUUAUGGCCACGGUGGAAAGGACCCCAGACUGUCGUCCUGACCACUCCCACCACUGUUGAAGGUAGAGGGAAUCCUAGCCUGGAUCCACCACAGCCAUG